rnacentral:misc_RNA from 1 species
GGAGCCCGCGGCCCGCGAAUGUCGGGUCGGGGUGCUCAAUGGCGGAGACACUGGCAAGUCGAUCGCCGGCAACGGCCUGGUUCCUCUAUUACAGCUGCUCUUCGGGGUGGUGGGAACGAGAACCUGGUGCGGCUGGUGGUGGAUGUAAGCACCCUGUUGGGUCCUGAAGGAACAACCCGAGUGGUUGUUGUUUCAGAACCAUGACCCCGCCUGAGGGCGGGGGUUGGUGCCAGGCAUGGCCUGGUCUCGCAAACCGUGAUCACGUGGUGGUUGCAGGUGUGGGGCUGUGGGUUGUGGGUUGGU